rnacentral:lncRNA from 1 species
GAUUAAACUGUUUAAAUACCUGCUCUGUGAUAGUAGGUAGCUGAGGGUCAAUUUCAGUCUCUUGAUGUUAAGUGCAUGGUAGCCUCUUAAGAAACUGUUCCUGCCAG